rnacentral:sRNA from 1 species
AUGGAGAGGGGGAGGCCGAGAUUGAGGGGUCGUUUUGUGUCAAAACGACGGGAACGCAAAUACGACUCCAUAAAAAAGGGGAUUCGACAGAGAUGGGAGAACACAAAAAUAGCCGAGACACAUAGCUAUUCUAAAAUCGCUUCCACCAACGUAACAAUUGAGUCAGACGACUGUCACUCCGUUGACAAUGUCCCAGUAGAUCUAGAAGAGGUUGAGGUUGUUUACACUGAAAAUGUAAUAGACUCCCCUCGUCUUGAAAAGGACUGGAGAUGUGGCCGUAGGUUGAUUGAGCUUGGGGUACUUGCUGAUGGCUUGUCUGCCUGCAAGAAAUGUGGCUUACCCUUACAACUUUCCCACUGCCAAGGAAUAACAAACUUUGGUCUUUCAGCUAUGCUUAAAAUACCUUGCAUGAAUUCUGCUUGCAAAAUGAUGAACAAUGUUUCAACAGGAAAAAGGCAUAAUAAAAUUUGGGAUGCCAAUACAAAGUUAGCAGCAGCUGUACAACACACUGGAAUAGGCUUUGACCAGAUAAGUGGAAUACUGGCUGAGCUAAACAUGCCACCCAUCAGCAGAACACUACUUAGCAGCAGACAAGUAGAGAUUGGAAAAGCUACAGAAUGUAUUGCUUCCUUAUCGAUGCAAGAAGCUCUAGAAGAAGAAGUUAUGGCAACAAACAUAAAGAAACAGUCAUCCAGCAUAAGUGUCAGUGUAGAUGGGGCUUGGCAAAAGCGCGGAAGUGGCCGGUCAUAUGAUAGCCUUACAGGCCAUUGCUCAAUGAUGGGUGUAGAAACAGGGAAAGUCAUCGAUUACAGUGUCCGUAGUAAAACAUGCAAGAUUUGUGAGAAUGCGGAAAGGAAAAAUACACCACCUGCUCCACAUGAAUGUACAAGAAAUUGGACAGGAAGCUCAAAGUCCAUGGAGCCUGAUAUGAUAGUGGAGAUGGUAGGAAGGACACUGCAGAAAGGAAACCAGGGUAGCCCAAGUGGAAUUGAAAAAGGCCUGACUGCUUUGUCCUUUCAUCCCUUUGAUAAUCACAAAGAAUGUGAUCAACUUUGGUGUCACCAUAAAAGAGACCCAGCCAGAAAGUUUACAUCCCUCCCUUAUGGUCGACCAUUGGAGAAUAAAGCUCUGCAGCAAGACCUGGAAGGCAUUUUUAACAAGCUAUCUGGUGCAGGUCAACAAGAAGAUUGGCAUUUCCCCGGGAACUUAUACAAGGAGGCUAGCUGCUCUCAAAGACAGAAUAAAUAG